CGCGAAACCUAAGAGAAGCCGCAAGGAUUUCCGCUUUGUUGCACCUACGGUAGAAGAAGCAGUUCAAUGGGUGGCCAGUUUUGGAGAUCAACAAUGUUUUAUCAACUGUUUGUCACAUCCUUUAGUCUCAAAGAAACAUGCUUCGUCUGACUUAUUUUCGGUCCCAAUUGAUACCCCUCCUGAGUUGGUCUUCAGGUGUAAGAGUGCACCUAAAAUGCUUGUCAUAUUAAACCCUAGGUCAGGGCAUGGACGAUCUAUCAAAGUUUUCCACAAUAUAGUGGAACCAAUUUUCAAGCUGGCCGGGAUUAAGUUGGAGGUAGUCAAGACAACUAAAGCAGGCCAUGCGAGAGAGUUGGCUUCCACUGUCGAUAUUAACUUGUGCUCAGACGGUAUAAUUUGUGUUGGAGGCGAUGGAAUCAUCAAUGAGGUGUGAUAGUCAGCCUUCCUAAACUAUGCU